CACAAAUAGCCUCAGACCUUCCGAGGGUGUUCCUUUGAGAUGUUUCAUCACUGACGUCAUAGUGAGUGCCACCUCCCUCAGACUACUUUAGGCCCUGCCCAGAGUCGGGGAGUCCAGACAGCCUGGGAGAGGAACAGGAAUUGGGGCCUGAGUGGGAGAGAACAAGGAGAAGUCUACUCAGCCAGGGCGUGUCCUAGACCCUCUUCAGGUAACCCUGAACAGGAUUUCCUGCUCAGCAGAUGAUGUGUGUUUGUGUGCACAAAUUACUAAUGAGGGAGACAGAGGAGAGCUUCUAUAUCUCAAAAAUAGAUGACGCUCCUUGUACAUGGUAUUUCUUAAGAUGUAAAGUGAAUAUUAUUGAUUCUUGCUUUUCUUUGGUGUGCAUUUUCUUUUUUUCAUAUCGUGGAAGAAAGUUUAUCUUCCAUCUUCUCAAAGUUUCUAAUGAAAGAAAGCCAAUGCCAAGCUUCUUGUACAAUCUAUUCAUAGCCUUUUGGUGUUUGGCUCAUCUAUAUGACAAUCACUUCAGAUCACAAGACAUGAACUUGAUGCUAGGGAAGGUUUAGAGUGAAGUCAAAGCUGUUUGGUGUAUUAACAGCAGAAAAAUAAAACACUGCUGAUCUGAAUUUCUAACUUUGGUCUGUUCUUCUUAAAGGGUGAAAAAAAAGUCUACACCUUACAUUCAGCACAGACAUUGAUUGGAUUGGGUUCCUUGAAAAUUCUCACUUUAAUUCUUUAUGUUUUGUUCAUUUAAAAAUACACAAAACAAUAAAUAUUUAAAGAAGCCAUUGAAGUGCAAUAAAUUGUAAGAGGUGAACCACAGUAGACACAGAAGUGUGAUGGGUAACCUGGUAACCUGUCAAUUCAGAGAAAAUUGAAAAAAAACUUGUGGAGUCCAUAAACAUAUGCAGUUUAAACAAUAAUUAUAAGUUUCAUCAAGAAACACGUUUUUGCCAGCCCCCAAGAAGUCCAAUCCUGAUCACCCCUCUUCUGCUCCUAAAAUGUUAAGAUUGUCUUGUCCCUGCUUUUCUUUAAAGUUUUACCAUGUCUGUAUUCCUAUACUAUAUUUUAAAUUCCCUAUUUCUGAUUUUGUCUAAAUGGAGUCAUAUUCUAUGUUCCCUUUGUAAAUUCUUUUUUUGUUCAACAAUCAUGCUUGUGAGAUCCAUUUAUCCUGUUGUGUGCAACUGUAGUAGUUCCUGUACUUUCUUUACUCUGUAGCAUUCAAAUAUAUGCACCACUGUACUGCUGAUGAACAUGGGAGAUGUAUCCUGUUUGGGUUCUUGUGAACAAUGUAGUGAACAUUCUUGUGUUUGUACCUCAGCACGUGUGUGCUUGAGCAUCUGGGGGUAGAAGGGAAAUUGUUAGAUAUUAGGAAGAAAGCCUUUUACACUUUAAUUUUUAAAAUGUCAAAUUAUUUUCCAUAGUGGUCGAAAAUUCAUACUAACUUUGUUUAGCCAUGGCAGUUAAUUGCAAUAAUAAUUUGUUCUUGUAAUACGUUGGUGGAGUGAUCACAAUUCUGAUAACUAAUUCUAGUCUCCCACUUUUAGCUCUGCUUCCUACUUUCUGAGAGUCAUUACACAAGCAACUUCUCUCUAAAAGUCAAUUUCUCAGCUGUAAUUUUGGCAAAGACAAAAAUCACAAUAAUACUUGCCCUAGUGUACAGGUAACAUGAACAGAGCUGUUGGAACUGCUUUUAAUAGCAUCUUUCUCAUUAUCCAAGUAUAUUCCUGUUGGAUCGCUAUCCAUAAUUCCCUUAUAUAAUAGCUUAAUCUAAUAAGCAGAUUUGAUGGGAAAGUUAUUUUGCUUUCCCUAGAUUGGAUUGUUUUGAUCAUUAUAAAUAGGGUUUCAUAAUUUCUGCUUCUUCCCCCUGCCCACCUUUCUUCUCUCUCUCUCUCUUUGGGGGGGGUAAGGGGAUGAACCCAGGGGUGCUUUACCACUGAGUCACAUCCCAGUCCUAUUUAUUUAUUUUGAGACAAGGUUUUGCCAAGUUGCUGAGGGUUUCCCUAUGUUGCUGAGGCUGGCCUUGAACUUGUGCUCCUCCUUGAACUUGUUAGCCUGCUGCCUCAGCCUCCUGAGUUGCUUGGAUUAUAGGCACACACCAUUAUACCUGGCUGUAUCUCUGCACUUCUUGAGAACUUAAUCCCAAAGUAGGCAUUUGGAUCAGGGUUUGAUUUCAAUUAGUAAGUUCAUAAGGAAGAGUCUGUCUUUGAUUCUCAUUCCUUUGCCUCCAGCCUCCUUGGCUGGAUUCAUUCUCUUCCUGCUCCCCUCUGCUCUUAUGUGCAUUCUUAUAUAUUCUCUGUUAUUUCUUUACCCAUGAAUCUUCUGUUUACUUUCCUUUCCAAGCAAAUCUUUGUAAAGUUUUUCAUUGGCAAAUUACUAUUUCCUUCAUGCUGAAGGUCAAAAGAUGGAUAAAAAUUAAAUAGGAAAUUAAACAUAGAUUCACCAUUAUUGGCCAUUUUAAACCCCAACUCAACAGUCUACUGGUUGAAAUAAUCUGGUUUGAACCUAUAUGUCAUAUUAACAUAAUUUAAAAUUUGAUUAUUCAGCUGAAAUUUACACAGCUAAUAAUUUGGUCUAUUGAUGAUAUAAUAAAUAUUAUUAAUAAUUGAGUCAGGUUAGAUGGUUAAAAAUACCAUUCAGGUCAAAACCUUGCUAACAAACCUCUCUGUCCCUUGCACUCCCAUCCUUAGCAAAUAGAAUGUCCUUUCUGCCUAAACUUUUUCAUUCUGUAGUAGAAUUUGGUCCAAGAUAUCUAAAAUAUAUGUAUCUACAUAAAAUUAUUUAACAUAGAAAUCUUCUAUUUUAUUGGGCUGGAGCUGUAGCUCAGUGGUAAAGUGCUUGCCUUGCAUGUGUGAGGCACUGGGUUUGAUAUUCAGCACCACAUAAAAAUAAAAUAAAAGAUACUGUGUGUCCAUCUACAACUAAAAAAAUUUUUAAAAAGAAAUCUUAUAUUUUAUUUAUAUUGCAAAACAAAAGCCGAUUAUAAUAUAUCACUGAAGCUAAUAAUUUGAUUGACUGCAUUGUGUAUGUUCUUCAAGUUUGAUUUCCUGCAGGUACAAUCUGUACACACUCUGAAGAUACCAUCCCUGCUCUUUGAAAUGUUUACAAUUUAGGCACAUCCUGGGCCUAACUAAAAAUAGCUGGCACAAGCAUUUGUUGAAAUAGGAAUACCCAUUAAGUUAACACUUGCUUCUUGGACUGAGUACCUGUUAUGUGAGGGACUUUUGUUUGACCCCUGUAGGCUUUGUGCCCAGUGUAGGCUUAUACAAAAACCAUGCAGCUGUUGGAACUACUUUGUGCUUUCAUCAGGGUUAGAUAAAGACCUAUAGCAGCCUGAAACCUGAAAGAUUAUGAUAUCCCACAUCUAAAUGUUACCCAAAACAAGAACAAUACUAAAUUGUAACUUUUUUUUUCUGUUUUGAUGCUCCUACUUAGUGAUAUUCAGUUAGCAAAGUGAAUACAUGCAUACACCCGCAGAAAUUGAAGAGAGAAAAAUGUAAUAUUUUAUAUUUUAUUGAAAGCACCAAUACAAUCAUCCAAGAAGAAAAUCAGAACAAAAGUAUUGGUGUUUAUCACAGUGGGCAGAGAAACCAGGCUCUCUGUAUUAGAGUUCUUCAGAGAAACAACUGUAUGUGUGUGUGUGUGUGUGUGUGUGUGUGUGUUUAAGGAAUUGGCUCCUGUGGUUGUGCAAACUGAUAAGUUCAAAAUCUUCAGGAUAGGCUUGCAGGCUGGAGACCUAGAGAAGAGUGAUGGUUCUAGUCAAAGAAUCUGAGGCUACAUGUUAGAAAUCAGACAGUCGGCAGGGUUGGUUUCUUCUGAUACUACUCUUUUUGGCUUGGUGAUGUUCAUUUUCCUGUGUUUUCACAUUGUCUUCCCUCUGUAUGAGUCUGUCCAAAUCCCCUCUUCAUAUAAGGACACCAGUCAUAUUGGAUUAGGGAUUACAUUAAUGACCUUAUUUUAACUCAAUUACCUUUCAAAAGACCCAAAUACAAUCACAUUCUUGGGUACUGGGGGUUAGGAUCUCAACAUACGAAAUUAGAGGAAGACACAGUUCAGCCCCAAACCACCUCCUUUCCCACAAUACUUCAAUUUCCUUUGGAAAAGAAUAAGCAUCAUCUUCCAGGAACACUUGUUCACCUCCCCAUGUUUUCUUUGUCACUUUCUGUUAGGAGGUGAGGACAAGCCGGAGGUCUUGCUGUGCCCCCAGAAGUCUACCUGAAGGUCUCAUCCAGCCACUCUGAGGAUGGAGCUAUCCACCCGGGAGCUGUUUCUCAACUUCACCAUUGUCCUGAUUACAGUCCUCCUCAUGUGGCUCCUUGUGAGGUCCUAUCAAUACUGAGAGGCCAUGCCUCACUCCUGGGACUGACUGAGAUGCUCUGGAGCUGCCUGCUGCAUACCCUGAGGUCCCACUGCUGUCACUGUCAUGGGAGGCCAUUCUGGACACCCCAAUGCACCUCUGAUCUGCACUCACAAUGCCUGACAUGCCCCAGCACUAGGAUUGAUUGUUUUCUCUAAGAUGCUGCUCUCGCAGGCUGCCAAGUGCUUGCCAGUGAGUGUUAGAUUUAUUCCCCAGCUCUUACUGCAAAUGUGUCAGACAAGCCUCAAGGUUAAAAUUAAACGGGAUUCAUGAUGAUGUAGAAUUAUAACAAGCCCCUGAUCUGUCUCACUGCACAUCCCUCCAACCCACACUGUCUGCAACCAAACUCUAAUUCAACCCUCCAGAAGAAAUGUUAGAGGAAGUCUUUGUCAAUCUCUCCAGCGAUCAUGUGAAUAAAGUUAAGUCAACCACAAAAACAGAUUUUAGAAUUUAUUUUAGUUACUAGGUGUGAUACAGCAUUUGACCCUUGGCUGGGAUUGAAGUGACAAAUGCUACAGUAUUUCUAGCAUUUGAGAUAAGCCAAGAUGCUCCAACUGCUGAGGAUUUGAAACCAAGUCAAGUUAGAGUGUCACAUUUCAAAUAAUCCCAUUGGUUCAGAGCUCCUCAAACUUUUCCCUUAACUUGUCCAAGGACAGAAGGAGAGUAAGUUUAUUCCACUAUGAGAUCUGGACCGGAACCUGAAGUGCCCACUAAAAGCACAAAAUAUCUUUGAAGUAUUAUGUUUUUUCCUUAGAAUUCACAAGAAAUGUGUAUUCUACUCUGUAGCAUCUCCACGUUUGCCUUAGUGUUUUAAAAUAUUUAGAAUUCAUUACCUAUUAUUAUUAUUAAAUAUUUAGAAUUCAAUACCCUAUUUACCACUGAGUAAAUCAAAGUCAUUUCCCUAACAGCAGCAUAUUCGGGUUUAUUGUUUGUAUACAAAGGG
rnacentral:lncRNA from 1 species